UACGAAGGGGGCUAGCGUUGCUCGGAAUUACUGGGCGUAAAGCGCACGUAGGCGGUCUUUUAAGUCGGGGGUGAAAUCCUGGAGCUCAACUCCAGAACUGCCUUUGAUACUGAAGAUCUUGAGUUCGGGAGAGGUGAGUGGAACUGCGAGUGUAGAGGUGAAAUUCGUAGAUAUUCGCAAGAACACCAGUGGCGAAGGCGGCUCACUGGCCCGAUACUGACGCUGAGGCACGAAAGCGUGGGGAGCAAACAGGG
rnacentral:rRNA from 1 species